UACGGAGGAUCCGAGCGUUAUCCGGAUUUAUUGGGUUUAAAGGGUGCGCAGGCGGGAGAUUAAGUCGGUGGUGAAAUUUUGCGGCUCAACCGUAACAGUGCCAUUGAUACUGGUUUCCUUGAGUGUGGAUGAAGUAGGCGGAAUUUGUGGUGUAGCGGUGAAAUGCAUAGAUAUCACGAGGAACUCCGAUCGCGUAGGCAGCUUACUAAACCAUAACUGACGCUCAUGCACGAAGGCGUGGGGAUCAAACAGGAUUAGAUACCCCGGUA
rnacentral:rRNA from 1 species